rnacentral:rRNA from 1 species
AGUGAACGCUGGCGGUAGGCCUAACACAUGCAAGUCGAACGGCAGCACAGUAAGAGCUUGCUCUUACGGGUGGCGAGUGGCGGACGGGUGAGGAAUACAUCGGAAUCUACUUUUUCGUGGGGGAUAACGUAGGGAAACUUACGCUAAUACCUCAUACCACCUACGGGUGAAUUCAGGGGAUCUUCGGACCUUGGGCGAACUCAUGAGCCGAUGUCGGAUUAGCUAGUUGGCGGGGUAAAGGCCCACCAAGGCGACGAUCCGUAGCUGGUCUGAGAGGAUGAUCAGCCACACUGGAACUGAGACACGGCCCAGACUCCUACGGAAGGCAGCAGUGGGGAAUAUUGGACAAAGGGCGCAAGCCUGAUCCAGCCAUACCGCGUGGGUGAAGAAGGCCUUCGGGUUGUAAAGCCCUUUUGUUGGGAAAGAAAAGCAGCAGGUUAAUACCCCGCUGUUCUGACGGUACCCAAAGAAUAAGCACCGGCUAACUUCGUG